UUAGAUGGCAAUACAGCAGAUCACUCAAGGCUUGCUGAGACAUGACUACGCAUUCAUACCACUUGGGAAAAUAUCAUCAUCCUACGUUGAAAAUUAACUAGAAGAUACUGAUAAUUAUAUAGGUUUUAUGCAAUAUGGCAGUACAUAGAUCACUCGAUGCAUGGUGAGACAUGAAUUCACAUUUCUACCACUUCGGAAUGUAUCAAUAUCCUACAUGUAAAAUGGACUAGAAGAUACUGAAAAUAUUAAUGGUUUUAUACAAUAUGGCAGUACAUAGAUCACUCGAUGCAUGGUGAGACAUGAAUUCACAUUUCUACCACUUCGGAAAGUAUCAAUAUCCUACAUGUAAAAUGGACUAGAAGAUACUGAAAAUAUUAAUGGUUGUA